AUAUAGAGAGAGAGAGAGAGAGAGAGAGAGAGAGAGAGAGAGAGAGAGAGUUGGACUGGGCUACUAUUAGUAGCAAAAUCCCAUUGUUGCUACCAGUUUUUUAUCCUUUGGAUCAACUCUUUUCAUCAUUUCUAACCAUUAGAUUAAAUACUGUAAUCCAGUGGGGACCACUCAACCCUAGGGGGAGCACUCAACUCUAACUGACUAAUAUCAUCCUAACCCUAUAAUUUUUCAUCCAAGGGUUAAAAAUUUGAUAGCAAAAAGACGAUUUUACUAUUAAUAGUAUUCCAGUCUAAUUCUAUAUA
rnacentral:lncRNA from 1 species